UACGUAGGGGGGCAAGCGUUGUCCGGAAUCAUUGGGCGUAAAGCGCGUGUAGGCGGUUCGGUAAGUCUGCUGUGAAAGUCCAGGGCUCAACCCUGGGAUGCCGGUGGAUACUGUCGGACUAGAGUACGGAAGAGGCGAGUGGAAUUCCCGGUGUAGUGGUGGAAUGCGUAGAUAUCGGGAGGAACAUCAGUUGCGAAGGCGGCCACCUGGACCAGCACUGACACUGAGGCACGAAAGCGUGGGGAGCAAACAGG
rnacentral:rRNA from 1 species